rnacentral:rRNA from 1 species
AUUGAACGCUGGCGGCAGGCCUAACACAUGCAAGUCGAACGAGUGGCGGACGGGUGAGUAAUGUCUGGGAAACUGCCCGAUGGAGGGGGAUAACUACUGGAAACGGUAGCUAAUACCGCAUACCAUCGGAUGUGCCCAGAUGGGAUGAGCUAGUAGGUGGGGUAACGGCUCACCUAGGCGACGAUCCCUAGCUGGUCUGCGAGGAUGACCAGCCACACUGGAACUGAGACACGGUGCAGACUCCUACGGGAGGCAGCAGUGGGGAAGAUUGCAAAAGGGUCGCAAGCCUGAUGCAGCCAUGCCGCGGGUAUGAAGAAGGCCUUCGGGUUGUAAAGUACUUUCAGCGAGAAGGCGUUACUCGCAGAAGAAGCACCGGCUAACUCCGUGCCAGCAGCCGCGGUAAUAC